GAAAGUAAUUUUUAUCCAAGCAUGCAUGUAGUAGGUGCGCAUAGGAUAGGACUGGUAUUUUUUUUAAAAUAAACUUUAGCAAACACAAAACAUAUACCUAUAUGCCAACAUCCCAAAUUAGCAAGGCUGCCUUUGCUUAGCCCCGAAGUUAACUAUAUGUCUUCUCUACAAAAACUUUGCUAUUGCCCGUCUUUUUAGUAUAUUUUAAAGGAUCCCUUGUUUGUAUUUGCUUCUCUCUCCGUUUUCCUCAUUCCUUUAAGAACAUUUUUCCUCAGUAAAAUAUCACAUACCAACUCCUUGCUAAGUUUUGUUCUUGUAUAUUUCCGGUUUAAUCUUUUUUUUGUCCUUACGUCCGUCCCGUUUAAGAACCUGACAUCAACCUGAUAACAAAAGUGGAAAGUUUUUUGUAAUCAGGUGAUGCGGAUUGAGACGUACGUUGGAAUUUGAAAUAUUUUGAAGAUUUCAUUCUUCCCACAGAGAAGAAAUAUAUUAUUGAUCAAUAAGAAAUUACAUUAACAUUUGGUUUACAAAAGUAUCCAGCAGGACUUGACUCUUGGUGAAGGGUCCAGGGAGCCUUAGACUUGGAUAAUGGUUUACAAAAGUAUCUCUAGGACGAAAACUAACAGAGAUUUAAGGUCUGAGUUUGGUCCUGAGGCCGGCUUGGAUGAUGGGCUGCAUGUUUCGAUCCAACCGUAACCUAGAUUGAUCCUGCUGAAGAGCCAAGAGCAUCUUCUUCCGAAAUCUCUGAAUCACAAUUUGCUGAGAGUGAGAUGGGAUACUGCCUGUUAAAGCUUCAGCCACUAGGGGGGUGGACCAAUAUGUGUAGGCUGGUGAGUAAAAUCAAAUCGGCCAGAGCUUGAGUUCAGGCUUGGAUAAUAUCCGAUUUCUCAUCUGUACAACAACUGCAAGGGAAGAAAACGUCGGAGAGAUGAAGGAGGUGAAGGUUUUGGUGAGUUUUUCCAAACUUGUCAAGUUUACUUAUUGUUUGAUUGUUUCAAAGUAGCCCAUGCUUUUGUUUUUGCACACGCAUUUUCACGCAGGGUAGCGUGCAUUUUCCUCGUUCCAUCAUUUCUUUAAUAGUAUUGACGUGUCCAUAAUAACUUGUCAAAGAAAAAGGGACUCCCAAAUUAACUUAUUAUAUGGGAGAAAUUACCAGGAAAUUGCAUGAUUAUCGGCAUGAAUUUACAUACUUUGAUUUUUUUCGGAUCUAAUUAUGUGAUUCAAUACAUUUUAAAACGAAUCACGUCUGUAUCAUUAUUUUUUUCAUAUGAUUCAGAAAGCCUUUCAUAGGAAACAUCCCAAUCUUUUGCAUUAGACAUAGUUUCUCUCAUUAUUAUUUUUUAAUGAGAUUUUUCCGGAUCUAAUUAUGUGAUUCAAUUCAUUUAAAAAUAUAAAACUAUCACGUUUACAUCAUUAUUAUUAUUAUUUCGCACCUGAUUCGGAAAGCGUUCCAUAGGAAACAUCCCAAUCUCUUUCAUUAGACAUAGUUUCUCUCAUUAGAUGUCUAGUCAUAUCGGUUAAGAUGACAUUUAAAAACUGUGCAACUAAUGAAUCGUUCUCUCUGGAAUUUAAUAAAAUAGUAAAUUAAAUGCAAAAAAUUAAUUAAUAAUUAAAUAAUCUUUAAUUAACGUGUAUUUAUUUCCGGUUAGAUUUUUUUAAUCUGUUUUUUAAUAUAUUCAUCACAACCAUUAUCCAGGAAUUUUGAAAUUUAUUAGUGUAGAAAGUUGUUGAAGAUUUAUAUAUUGAACAGUAUUUGACAAAAUAGUAAUAAUAGAAAGACAUUAGGACUUAGCAUUUAUCUAUUUAAAGUAUUUGAGAUAUAUAUAUAUAUAUAUAAACUAGUCAUGCACACGGCUUUUCUGAAUACCGAAAGGGACUAAUAAUAUAAAAAAUCAGUAGCUUGAAAAUAAAAGUAACAUCGAUCGAUGGAUCGCUAGACCAAGCGAAAAUGAAACUAUAAUCGUUCGACACAGACGUUAAACCUUGCAGUAUUGCACGAUCAAUGGAAUACGAUGUAUUCUUUGUCUAUGCACUGUGACAACAACUUAAAUUUUGAUCUGACGAUAGAAAAUCAAAGUAAUCUUCGUAGAUAGGUUGGUUGUCGGUUGCUGGACCAGCUGUAUAAUAAACAUUCUUCAAUUUUGGUUUUGGUAGAUAGGUUAGAAAUUAUUUUUUCAAUUCUAAUUGUUUUCUAUUUUAGUCAUUGACCAAAAAAUUUAAAAUAUUCAUUAAAGUAAUUUUCAAAUGUUUUUUUGUUAAAAAAAAAAAAAAAACUAUGAUCGGGCCAUUUGAAGUUUUCAAGCGUAUUUUUUCCGCUUACCAAGUAUAUAAAGGCUUUCCAUUUGAUGAGGAAAUGCAGUAAUUCCCUACUGAAAACUUCAAACUUCAAAGGUUUUCUAAGGAAAUAACAUAAAAUGCCUGCGACAGCUUUAAGUUGGAGGAACUCCAAGCUCGCAGUUGCAACAAAGAUGCGUUCCAAAAAAUCAAAGAGAGGCCAUCAGAAGAAAAGAAGGUUGACAAACCUAAACUUAUGCAUGAAAAUGUUAAAAGUGGAGUUGGAAGAAAUAAAUGAAGAGCAAAAAAAGAUAAAAGAGGGGCAAAGACUAUUAAGAGAAAAGUUUGAAGCCAUUGAAUUGGAAUGUGAGCAACUUCGAAAGGAGACUAUCCUCAUAACUCAACAAAGUGUUAGCACCCAAAUCUGCCUUGCUCUUAUGAUCCAAAUCCUAAAAGCUAAGGAAAAUAAUGACUUUUCCAAAGCAUCACAACUCACUUGUGCGCUUCGUGAACUCAUAGCAAGAGAGAAGUAGCAAAAGAAGCUUUGAUGGCUAAUUGGUGAUGCAUGCUAUCUCAAAUUAAUAAAUGGUGUAAUAGUUUCCAUCGUUAGACUUUUAUUUGUUUUGGUAUUUGAAAUAGUCAAGGUUUGAGGCAUGGUCAGUAAAAUUAAAAGUUCAACGCUCUAUCAAUAGAUCGCAUGACUAUUGAUUGUACAUUUUUUUAAUUAAAAAGUUUAAGGAAAUUAGAACAUGUUCUUUAAACAAAAGAAUUAUACCAAUUAUUGUGCCAAAUUUUUGUGUUAUGUUUGGGCAUAUAAUUUGCUGCGAGGGGCUUUUAAUUGGCUCUCUUUUUUAUUACUUCUAUCUAUAUUGCUUGCAAGAACAUAGAUCGCUAUCAAGUAAUAAGUGAGUAAGUAAAGUAUCAUCCCAUGAGGAUUAUAUAUUGUAAUUAUUGGGUGUAAAUCAAGUACCAAAGUUGACAAUCUACUAGCCUUAUAUCUAAAUGAUCGAAAUGAAAGGUUGAUUAAAAGUUAAAACAAGUAAACAAAGUAAAAGAGCAAUUGUGUAGAUAAGCCAAGAAAUAACUAUCCAACUAUCAUUUAUAAGUUUAAUGAGUGGUUGAAUAUAACAAAAACACUAAAAUAAUUGAAAGCUUUUGAGAAAAGAAAGAUUGAUUGUAGGCCAAAAAUAAAAGAAAGCAUAAUACAAGAUUUAAAGAUUACUUGUAAAAGAUCUUGAAUAGAAAGAAUGCUUGUUUUAAGAAAGAAUUGAAAAACAAUCUUAUGUUGGACUAGUCUAUCACUCUAGCUAAUACUAAAAACAAUUUGAUUUAAGCAAGUUCGUCACCCUAGCAAAAAUACUAAGAAAACCAAAAAUACAAGAAAGAAAUAAAAAGAACAAUGGGAUGAGAAUUAAGUGAUUUACAAUUAAAGAGAGCUUGCAUAUUUAUAAAGGUAGGUUUGACCAAGGGGAUUGGGAUUAGAAGUUUUUUUUUGCAAAUUAAACUCUAAAAAGAUUAAGCUUUAUCUUGAUUUUAAAGUGUUGUGAACGAACAUGGAGAUGGAGUGUCUUUCCUAAAUAGGGCUUCUUGCAUUUUGGCUAAGGUUGAUUAUCACAAAUUGUUGCAUCAAUCAUAAAUUGUUGAAAUAAAUCUCCAAAAUUCUUUCUUGCAUAUAAACUUUAGUCUUUAUCUCUUAUAUUGCAUUUAUCUUAUGUGAAAACUCUAUCAAGAUGAUCAAAGAGUCUUUUAAUAAAACAUCUUCUUGGUCGAGUAUUUGUAGAAGUCCUUGUUCAAGUAGGAUUCUUCAAUUACCAAAUGCUUGUAGGAUUCCUCAUGUAAGUAGGGUAGUUGAAUGGAUUUAGGAGUUCUAGUGCAAGUAGGAUUUAGCUAACUCUCCCUUAUUGUAUGGCCAAAUAUGACUUAGAUUAAAAUUAACCUAGUCUUGCAUAAAAUUGCAUUGCAUUGCAUCACAUAGAUUUCACAUCCAAUAUGCAUUAAACUUAAAGAUCAAGAAAUCACAUAUUAAGCACACCAAAUUCAAGCAAAUUUUCAAAAUUUUAAACUAAAUUGGACUUGUAAAUCACUAUAAUUUUUAUUGCUAUCAAACCCCACACUUAACUUUUUGCUUGUCUUUAAGUAAAACCCUCAAAUUAAUUAUAGUAAGUAAUCAAUUCAAAUGUACACAAAUUCAAAGUUUCACAAAUUAUCAAUCAUGCAAUAUAGUAUAAUACAAAUAAAGUUAUGAACAUAAUUAAAUAAGAAACUUAUCCAAAAGUAAGCUUUUAAUCUCAUUUAACUUUUAUGACAAUGAAGUUAAUUUAUCUUUAAUCCAUACAUACAAUCUAAGUAAAUAGUAUGCAACAUAUGCCAUCACAUAUUAACUUAAAGAUAAAAUACCUUCAUAUGUUUACUUUCCUCAUUCAUCCCCACUACUAUAGACUCACACACUUAACUCAAGAUCAAAAGGUAGGAAAGGAAAAUUUAGGCUUAUAACCUUUUGCUUACUUUUUCGAACAUGGACUUUGAGAACUUUUGAAACUUUUCAAAACUUGAGGCAUCUUUUUUUUUCUCAUUAGCCAUUUUGGCUUUUAUUCAUUGCUUUUGUCUUGCCUUACACCUCCCUUCCUUCUAAAGACAAAGUUGUUCUUUUUACUUUAUCUCUUACAUAUGCACAAGCAAUGUGAGUUCGGUAAAAACAAUAAAAAGGAUAAAUCAUAAAAAGGCCUUGGCUUAUUGUUAGGGUUAAAUAAACAAGGAACAGGUAACAUAUAAAGGUAUUUGGAUACUUUUUCAUAGAUGAGUUUGAAAGACUCAAACAUUCCAAAUAAUGCCUAAAUCAUUUCUUGAAUCAAAUAUAGUUUAAGAUUCAUCUUGAGGAUUGAGUAGGUAAAUUCUAAAGUUACACUCAUGCUUCAAAUCUUUAUGCAACUUUAUACUCACAAUCUUUUCACAAAUAUUGAUACAUAUCAAAGAUUAAGACUAAAUGCACAAAACAUAAAAAUCACAAUCAAAAGAAAAUCAUACUUAAGACUUCAUUUUCAUGCUUCACUACAUUCAUACAUGUCUUAAUAUCAUACUUAAUUCAAUCAUAAACAACUUAUGAAAAAUCAACUAAGAUGGCAUUAUAAAGAUUAUAACAUGUUAACUUGGUUUGAAAACAAAGAUUUUAGGGAUAUUUUGAAAAAAUUUUGAAAACAAUUUAGGUAAAAAAGCUUUCCUCCCCCACACUUGAAUUAUAUAAUAUUCACAUGAAACAACUAAGAACUAAGGGUAAAAAAAAAAAAAAAAAACUCCCCAAUCUUUGCUUUCCU